UACGGAGGGUGCAAACGUUGCUCGGAAUUAUUGGGCGUAAAGCGCACGUAGGCGGCCGAAUGAGUCGGGUGUGAAAGCCCUGGGCUCAACCCAGGAAGUGCACUCGAAACUGCUCGGCUUGAGUAUGGAAGAGGGUUGCGGAAUUCCCGGUGUAGAGGUGAAAUUCGUAGAUAUCGGGAGGAACACCAGUGGCGAAGGCGGCAACCUGGGCCAAUACUGACGCUGAGGUGCGAAAGCGUGGGGAGCAAACAGG
rnacentral:rRNA from 1 species